UACGGAGGGUGCGAGCGUUGUCCGGAAUCAUUGGGCGUAAAGAGCUCGUAGGCGGUCUGUCGCGUCUGCUGUGAAAACUCGGGGCUUAACCCCGGGCCUGCAGUGGGUACGGGCAGACUAGAGUGCGGUAGGGGAGACUGGAAUUCCUGGUGUAGCGGUGAAAUGCGCAGAUAUCAGGAGGAACACCGGUGGCGAAGGCGGGUCUCUGGGCCGUAACUGACGCUGAGGAGCGAAAGCGUGGGGAGCGAACAGG
rnacentral:rRNA from 1 species